GGGUGCAUGGUCUAGAGGCAUGAUUCCUGCUUUGGGUGCAGGAGGUCCCCGGUUCGAUCCCGGGUGCGCCCC
rnacentral:tRNA from 1 species